rnacentral:rRNA from 1 species
GACGGGGGGUCCUAGCGUUGUUCGGAAUCAUUGGGCGUAAAGCGUGUGCAGGUGGUUCUGUAAGUUAGAUGUGAAAUCCCCGGGCUCAACCUGGGAACUGCAUUUGUGACUGCACGGCUCGAGUGCGGCAGAGGGGGAUGGAAUUCCGCGUGUAGCAGUGAAAUGCGUAGAUAUGCGGAGGAACACCGAUGGCGAAGGCAAUCCCCUGGGCCUGCACUGACGCUCAUGCACGAAAGCGUGGGGAGCAAACAGG